rnacentral:rRNA from 1 species
AACGAACGCUGGCGGCAGGCCUAACACAUGCAAGUCGAACGGCAGCACAGAAGAGCUUGCUCUUUGGGUGGCGAGUGGCGGACGGGUGAGUAAUGUCUGGGAAACUGCCCGAUGGAGGGGGAUAACUACUGGAAACGGUAGCUAAUACCGCAUAACGUCGCAAGACCAAAGUGGGGGACCUUCGGGCCUCACACCAUCGGAUGUGCCCAGAUGGGAUUAGCUAGUAGGUGGGGUAAUGGCUCACCUAGGCGACGAUCCCUAGCUGGUCUGAGAGGAUGACCAGCCACACUGGAACUGAGACACGGUCCACG